GUACCGUCAAUCGCCUAGCCUAUUCGACUCUGCGCCUUUCUUCCCCUCUGACAGUGGUUUACACCCCGAAAAGGCUUCCUCCCACACGCGGCGUCGCUGCGUCAGGCUUUCGCCCAUUGCGCAAUAUUCCCCA
rnacentral:rRNA from 1 species